AGAGUUUGAUCCUGGCUCAGGAUGAACGCUGGCGGCGUGCUUAACAACAUGCAAGUCGAACGGACUUUACAUGAAGCCUAGCGAAUGUAAAGUUAGUGGCGGACGGGUGAGUAACGCGUGGGUAACCUGCCAUAUGCUGGGGGACAACAGUUAGAAAUGACUGCUAAUACCGCAUAAGCGCACAGUAUCGCAUGAUACAGUGUGAAAAACUGAGGUGGCAUAUGAUGGACCCGCGUCUGAUUAGCUAGUUGGUGAGGUAACGGCUCACCAAGGCGACGAUCAGUAGCCGGCCUGAGAGGGUGAACGGCCACAUUGGGACUGAGACACGGCCCAAACUCCUACGGGAGGCAGCAGUGGGGAAUAUUGCACAAUGGGGGAAACCCUGAUGCAGCGACGCCGCGUGAGUGAAGAAGUAUUUCGGUAUGUAAAGCUCUAUCAGCAGGGAAGAAAAUGACGGUACCUGACUAAGAAGCCCCCGGCUAACUACGUGCCAGCAGCCGCGGU
rnacentral:rRNA from 1 species